GAUGAACGCUGGCGGCGUGCCUAAUACAUGCAAGUCGAGCGAACAGACGAGGAGCUUGCUCCUCUGACGUUAGCGGCGGACGGGUGAGUAACACGUGGAUAACCUACCUCUAAGACUGGGAUAACUUCGGGAAACCGGAGCUAAUACCGGAUAAUAUAUUGAACCGCAUGGUUCAAUAGUGAAAGACGGUUUUGCUGUCACUUAUAGAUGGAUCCGCGCCGCAUUAGCUAGUUGGUAAGGUAACGGCUUACCAAGGCAACGAUGCGUAGCCGACCUGAGAGGGUGAUCGGCCACACUGGAACUGAGACACGGUCCAGACUCCUACGGGAGGCAGCAGUAGGGAAUCUUCGGCAAAGGGCGAAAGCCUGACGGAGCAACGCCGCGUGAGUGAUGAAGGUCUUCGGAUCGUAAAACUCUGUUAUUAGGGAAGAACAAAUGUGUAAGUAACUAUGCACGUCUUGACGGUACCUAAUCAGAAAGCCACGGCUAACUACGUG
rnacentral:rRNA from 1 species